rnacentral:tRNA from 1 species
GUAGAUGUAGUUUAACAAAAACGCUAGAUUGUGAUUCUGAAAACAGGAGUUUAAACCCCCUUAUCUACA